GGUUCUGUAACUCAGUAGGUAGAGUGCCGGCCUGAAAAGCCGGUCGCAGGGGUUCGAUUCCCUUCGGAACCACCA
rnacentral:tRNA from 1 species